rnacentral:lncRNA from 1 species
CCAAAGUAGCUGAAGCAUUUAGGAUCCAGAGUCACAACUCACGAGCUACUACGGUUUACUACAUACAAAGUCUAAAAGAUAAUACACUAUUCUGGAAGAAAGAAACAAUAAAGUGACAAGUCUAGAAAGAGACUCCAGGGUUUGCGGACGCCAGCAGAUCUACUUUGGUCUCUUGUCGAUCAAGUCCAACUGCUAAACUCGAGGUCAACUCAGGCCAGUACUAAAAUCUGCACAGAAGUGCAGUGUAGUAUCAGUACAACCGACCCCAUCUACUGGUAAGUGCCGAGCCUAACCUCGCCGAAGUAGUGACGAGGUUAGGACAGGACACAAACAUAAUAACCCUGUGCAGUUUAACAAAGUAUGUAUAAAAUAACCGCAAUUAAGAGGUAGACAUGCAAUAUCGGGAGGGGGGACAUGUUGAGGGGAUUAUAAGAUAAAGAAUCACAACAGUAAAGAAACUUGAGCAGCUAAUACACCUUGAACCAGUAAAAACAAGUAAACACAGUAAUGGAAAAUGCACGGCAUUAACCUUCGUGCUUUUACUCUCAACCUCACCAGAUAAUCAAUAGAAACGGCACAACAUCACCCUUCAUGCUUUUACUCUCAACCUCACCAUAUAAAUAAAAAAAGAAUGGCACGGCAUCACCCUUCGUGUAUUAACUCUCUCAUAACAUGGCACGACAUCACCCGUCGUGCAUUAGCACUCACAACAUAUGGCACGACAUCACCCUUAGUAUAUUAACACUCUCUCUCACCAAAAUAAGGAACAAUAAUAAUAGGGAGAUAGAAAUGACAACAACAAGUCUUACUUCAACAUUUGGUUCCACAAUAUCAACCUCGAACUUGACUCAAUACUCAAUCAAUACCAAAUCCGUACAUAUGAUAAGAACGAUCAACAUAACUAUAAACUAGUCUAAGCAUGGGUAAUAUGAUUACAGAAAGCUAAAAUUUUAUUAAUAAGACUCACUAGCAUGCUAUGACUCAAAAAACAACGCAUAGAUACUUGUCACCUCACCUAUACGUUGUACUCAACAUUCAAACACAUAACAAUUAGGCAAAUAAGACCUAAUCCCUCAAGCCAACGUUAACCACGACACUUACCUUGCUCCGCGGACCAUUCAAUGCUCAAUUACCGCUUUUCCUCUAGUAUCCACCUCUGAACCACUCGUAUCUAACCACAAUUAACUCAAUAACAUCAAUUAUUGCUAAAGGAAUAAACUACAAUGCAUAAAUUUAGAUUUCUCAAACUUUCCCCCCAAAAGUCAAAAAUCGACCCCGGAUCUACUAGUCAAAACUCGAGUUUCGGACCAAAAUUCAUUUACUUAUUCACCCCUGAGCCUAGAUAUACAAUUGGUUUUGAAAUUCGGCCUCAAAUCGAGGUCUAAAUCCCCAAUUUGCAAAAAUCCUCAAUUCUUCCUAAAUCCCUAGUUUUCUACCAUGAACAAAAAUUAGGGCUAGGAAUUCAGUAGGUGAUGUUAGAAAUAGAAGAAAAUGAGUUAAAGAGUAUAAACCUAUGAUUUGAUGUUGAAUUCCCCCUUCAAAAUCGCUCAUAGGUCGAGCUCUAAUGAAAGAGUUAUGAAAUUUUGAGAAAAUCCCGUUUCUGGUCUGUUUUAAGUCUCAGGCACCAGGCCUUCUUCGCGUUUGCGAAGGGCUUGCUGCAAUUGCGAAAGGCAGUCGCCCAAAGACCUACGCAUUCGUGAAGGUUGCUCCCCCUUGGCCGUCGCGUUCGCGAGCCAGUGCUCGCGUUCACGUAGAAGAACAGUUGUCCCCUCCCCUAGGUCCCUUACGCUACGCAUUCGCGAAGGGUAAUGCCCCCAAUGCUCCGGGUUUGCGACCAAGCCUUCGUGUUCGCGAAGAAGAAAAUACCAUGCCCUUCUGUCACGUCCCAAACUACCCCAUAGACAUGACUGACACCCAGCUAACACCACCUGCCAGACGAACCAUACUUUCUUACCUUAGCCAUUAAUUUGUAGCAUUUGAUUAAUUAAUGAGUAUCCAAAUAAUCUGAUAACUAUUACGAAUAAUUAAUAUCUCAAAAUAUAAGAUUAAACUCUAGCCCAAAUCGCACACUAGACCAUGGAGCAUCUAAGAGAAUUACAAAAGACCCCAUAUGAAUAAAUGAUAAAGACUCUUUGGGCAGCCUCCACGAACAAUGCGGCGGCUCACCUCAAUAACUGAAUCAACUCUAGCAAACUCGUCGGCUACUAGCUCCGUCUUCACCAAUAGUAUUUGCAUGGACAUGAAGGUAAGGAGUGAGUUAUACAUAAAUAUAACCCAGUAAGAUCAUCGACCCGCCACUCUGAAUACCCCUGGAACAAGUGUUAGAAAAUACAAACACACAACGAGCACACAAAUAAUAUGCACAUAAAUUCUUUUAUCAUAUAAUUACUCUAUAAGGUCCAAACAAUUAUUCAACAACAAUACUAUAUAUAUCUCAACACAAUCUACACUAAGGACUUGUCAUUAACGGCAGUGUAGGAAAUUAACCAAACACCCAACGAGUCCACGUCAGGAUACACGAUGCCCCAAAUCUAUUACAACGGCAUACACAAUGCCCCAAAUAUAUAGCGGCAGCAUACACAAUGCCCCAAAUCAAUCACGGCAGCAUACACAAUGCCCCAAAUAUAUAGCGGUUGCAUAUACAAUGCUCCAAAUAUAUAGUGGCGGCAUACACAAUGCCCCAAAUAUAUAGCGGCGGCAUACACAAUGCCCCAACAUCAUGGCGCACAGCCGUAUCAAACUCAACAUCAUGGCGCACAGCCGUAUCAAACUCAACAUCAUGGCGCACAGCCGUAUCAAACUCAAUAUCAUGGCGCACAGCCGUAUCAAACUCAAUAUCAUGGCGCACAGCUCGUAUCAAACUCAAUAUCAUGGCGCACAGUCGUAUCAAACUAUAAAACUCAACCUCAUGGCGCACAGCCAUAUCACACUAUCAAACAACUUAUAAAAAAAUAUUAUUAUUUUUUUCAUAAAAUAAUAUAUUUGCGGCUAGUCUAAGUCCACCGACUCUGCCAAGCGCACGCUUGUCCCAACACAUGGACCAGGCAGAGAAAACACACUUUCAAAACGGGUUUUAGUAAAGCAAGUAUCAAAGCUUAAAGUUUCACUUACCUCGCCAAUGCCAAAUUUCUCAACCUUGAAACGUCUAGAAAACUACCCAAACGGCCUCCAAUGAUCGCAAUCCAUGCAAAAAUAUUGAUUAACAAUGUCAAUUUGACUAGUUGGGAUCAAACCUCAAUAUCCCGAACUUUCAGACUUAGAAUUGAAUCAUAAUCAUAAUAUUCUACGCAGUAAGUACCCUCUUGAGGCCAUAAUAUGUUCCAAUAUCUCAAUUUAAACUCAAUAUUUAAUUACAAUUCCUAAUAAGUAAUACUCUAAACUUAAUAUCUAAUUACAAAUCCUAUAAAGUAAUACUUGAAGUCCAAUGAUAAUAACUGGAGUAAAAGUUAGAAUUUGCCUAAACAUAAGAACAAAACGGAAACAGUAGUACUAAUAUUGAUAUUAAGAACUGAUGCACAUGUUGGCCGAUUUCUCAUUUGGUUAUAUAUUUACAUCCAAUUAAAAACCAAAUAACUACUUGCUUAAUCAUAAUGCUUCCAAUCAUUGGCAUAAUUAUUCAUAAGGUUAAAUAAUAACUAAAUUCUCCAAAUUCAAUUAAAUCCACCACUGUAAGAAUAUGAAUAGGCAUAUAUGUACUAGACUAAUCAAAUUUCUUCUACGAAGGGUUCACUAAGUGACAAUUAUACAAUUCAGUUAUUCAUUAUCUUAUCAUUAUUUACUACUCCCUCCGGUUCAUAAUAAGUGACCAAUUUGCUUUUAGCACGUCCAUUAAGAAAAUAUUAAAUUCUAUACAAAAAUACAUACUAUGACUAAACUACCCCUAAUUAAACAUUUAAUGUGAGGAGUUAUUUUGUACAUAGGGGUUAUUUUGUAAAAACAAAUUGAAUUCUUUCUUGAUUACAUAACUGGACACUUAUUUUGAACCAAAAUAAAAAAGCAAAUUGGUCACUUAUUGUGAACUAGAGGGAGUAUUUGUUAUCUUAUCAGUAACUCAUAUAGACAUCAUUAACCUUCUCAAUCAGAACAUCGUAGCCACAUAUAUUCAAAGCUUAUGCUAAUGGAAUAGUCUCAAUACCUGAAGCUGUAAGUCUUGCGUUGCUAUCUUCCUUACGCC